rnacentral:rRNA from 2 species
AGCGGCGGACGGGUGAGUAACACGUAGGUAACCUGCCUAUAAGACUGGGAUAACUCCGGGAAACCGGGGCUAAUACCGGAUAACAUUUUGCACCGCAUGGUGCAAAAUUGAAAGGCGGCUUCGGCUGUCACUUAUAGAUGGACCUGCGGCGCAUUAGCUAGUUGGUGAGGUAACGGCUCACCAAGGCGACGAUGCGUAGCCGACCUGAGAGGGUGAUCGGCCACACUGGGACUGAGACACGGCCCAGACUCCUACGGGAGGCAGCAGUAGGGAAUCUUCCGCAAUGGACGAAAGUCUGACGGAGCAACGCCGCGUGAGCGAUGAAGGCCUUCGGGUCGUAAAGCUCUGUUGUUAGGGAAGAACAAGUGCUAGUUGAAUAAGCUGGCACCUUGACGGUACCUAACCAGAAAGCCACGGCUAACUACGUGCCAGCAGCCGCGGUAAUACGUAGGUGGCAAGCGUUAUCCGGAAUUAUUGGGCGUAAAGCGCGCGCAUGUGGUUUCUUAAGUCUGAUGUGAAAGCCCACGGCUCAACCGUGGAGGGUCAUUGCAAACUGGGAGACUUGAGUGCGGAAGAGGAAAGUGGAAUUCCAUGUGUAGCGGUGAGAUGCGUACACAUAUGGAGGAACACCAGUGGCGAAAGCGGACUUUCUGGUCUGUAACUGACACUGAGUCUGGCACAGCAUGCUUGAGCAGACAUCGAUGACAUACACUGGAUCAUCCACGUCCGUAUCGCAUGAGUGGGUUACUGCUAAAUCGGUUCCGCCCUUUACGCGCAAAGUGAACUCCUAUUUGCCUUCUCCCGCACGUCAAGUCGGCCGAUUGCGAUAGACCUACAGAUUGAGCGGUGCCCUUCACAUGCUGGAGCAGUAGCUCAUUGCCGCACUACGCCACAUUUCACGAGAUCGUCGUCCCUAACUACAAGGCUGCCCUCAAUGGCGAGACUUAGUAGACGCUACGCAC